rnacentral:rRNA from 1 species
UAGUUUGRUUYCUGGCUCAGRGCGAACGCUGGCGGCAGGCUUAACACAUGCAAGUCGAGCGGGCAUAGCAAUAUGUCAGCGGCAGACGGGUGAGUAACGCGUGGGAACGUACCUUUUGGUUCGGAACAACUGAGGGAAACUUCAGCUAAUACCGGAUAAGCCCUUACGGGGAAAGAUUUAUCGCCGAAAGAUCGGCCCGCGUCUGAUUAGCUAGUUGGUGAGGUAAUGGCUCACCAAGGCGACGAUCAGUAGCUGGUCUGAGAGGAUGAUCAGCCACAUUGGGACUGAGACACGGCCCAAACUCCUACGGGAGGCAGCAGUGGGGAAUAUUGGACAAUGGGCGCAAGCCUGAUCCAGCCAUGCCGCGUGAGUGAUGAAGGCCCUAGGGUUGUAAAGCUCUUUUGUGCGGGAAGAUAAUGACGGUACCGCAC